rnacentral:rRNA from 1 species
AUUGAACGCUGGCGGCAGGCUUAACACUUGCAAGUCGAGCGGAGUGAUGGUGCUUGCACUAUCACUUAGCGGCGGACGGGUGAGUAAUGCUUAGGAAUCUGCCUAUUAGUGGGGGACAACAUCUCGACAGGGAUGCUAAUACCGCAUACGUCCUACGGGAGAAAGCAGGGGAUCACUUGUGACCUUGCGCUAAUAGAUGAGCCUAAGUCGGAUUAGCUAGUUGGUGGGGUAAAGGCCUACCAAGGCGACGAUCUGUAGCGGGUCUGAAAGGAUGAUCCGCCACACUGGGACUGAGACACGGCCCAGACUCCGACGGGAGGCAGCAGUGGGGAAUAUUGGACAAGGGGGGGAACCCUGAUCCAGCCAUGCCGCGUGUGUGAAGAAGGCCUUAUGGUUGUAAAGCACUUUAAGCGAGGAGGAGGCUCUUUUGGUUAAUACCCAAGAUGAGUGGACGUUACUCGCAGAAUAAGCACCGGCUAACUCUGUGCCAGCCGCCGCCGUAA